rnacentral:tRNA from 1 species
UAGCUCAGUUGGUAGAGCAUUAGACUCUUAAUCUCAGGGUCAUGGGUCCGUGCCCCAU